AUUGAACGCUGGCGGCAGGCCUAACACAUGCAAGUCGAACGAGUGGCGGACGGGUGAGUAAGUCAGGGAAACUGCACGAUGGCGGAGGAUACCUACUGGGAACGGUAGGUAACAGCGCAUACAAUCGGCUUUGUCCAGCGGGGAUUAGCUAGUAGGUGGGGAAACGGCUAACCUAGGCGACGAACCCUAGCUGGUCUGAGAGGAUGACCAGCCACACUGGAACUGAGACACGGUCCAGACUCCUACGGGAGGCAGCAGUGGGGAAUAUUGCACAAUGGGCGCAAGCCUGAUGCAGCCAUGCCGCGUGUAGGAAGAAGGCCUUCGGGUUGUAAAGUACUUUCAGCGAGGAGGCGUUACUCGCAGAAGAAGCACCGGCUAACUCCGUGCCAGCAGCCGCGGUAAUAC
rnacentral:rRNA from 1 species